AUUCUUGGUUUUCUUAAUUUAUUUGUGUGGCUGGGAAAUCUGUGGUUUUUGUUCAAAGAAACUCCCUGGCAUAAUCCCCAACGAGAUGAAUUCCAGAGUGAGUAGCGAAACUAUAUUCUACUCUUCGCCUGUACAAACUAUGGAAUAUUCAAUAUCAGAUUCUGUAGACCAACCACUUGGCCACCCGCAGAUGAACACUUGAAUCUAUAUGUAUCAACUUUAAUAUUAUGACUGCCUUUUUUGGUGCAAAUCUUAGUUCUUUAAACUUCCCUCCCCCCUCAGGGUUCUUUUCAGGGAUUUUUUAGGGCCGUAAAACGGCCCCAAAAACUCAAUCUUGAAUUGAGUUUUGAAACUCAAUCUUCUCACCAAAAGAUUCUGUGCAGUAAAAAAAAGUUGUUUGAGUUAAAUUCAUGAUGUGUGCAAAUUAGUUUUCAGUUGAAAACCCGAAAAUUAAGUAAACAAUGGCUGGAAUUCAUUUCACAACACAAGAAAAACAAUGCAUUCACCGUCUUUAACCAGUUUAUAGUGUCCCUCAGUGCCCUUGCUUUAACACAUUGCAGCUCAACAACACUAAAGUGGGUACAGGUUUCAGCCUCCCGGUAGGGGGGAGGAGACAGUCGCCUUAAGACCCCCAGCUGUUCAGCUAAACUCAAUCUUCUCUGCAAAAACGGACCCAAGAGAAAAUCCUGAAACCCCCCCUGAAAUUUCAUCAUGCAAGGCGUAAAAAAAGUACCUGUCCGACCCCAUUUUUUUCUGCCGACCCUAUUAUUUUUUCAACGCGAUUGACCGUGCGACCCUAUUUUCUCCAGGUGGUUGCGGGCUGCCUAAAUUCGUCCAUAGGAAAUACGCAUCUCUAGUUAAUAUUGAUGUCGGGACUCUACUGCAAAUCGCCCAGCAAAAACCGCCAAAACCAUGAAAAAAAUAUUCAGAAAAAAAUUAUUUCCGACCUACCGACCCUAAUUUUUUAACGAUAUGAAACGGGAACCACAGGUAUUUUUUUACGCCCAAUGAUGAGCCAGGAACAGCUCUGCGAAAAAUGCAACUAUAAGCCCUCUGGCAAGGAUCGAACCUGUGGCCCUAGGAUAACACUAAGUCGGUUUCCUCAAACAUUUCUUACAAAUCCUUCAAAACUUAGAAUUUACCUUUGCAAAAUUCCUACUGUGAUCACAGAAACUUUGAUAGUGUAAACCAUCCUUUAUAACACUCAGUAAGUUUCCUCAAACAUUUCUUACAAAUCCUUCAAAGCUUAGAAUUCACCUUUGCAAAAUUCCUCUGUGAGCACAGAAACUUUGAUAGUGUAAACCAUCCUUUAUAACACUCAGUAAGUUCUCUCGGACAUUUCUUACAAAUCCUUCAAAACUUAGAAUUUACCUUUGCAAAAUUCCUACUGUGAUCACAGAAACUUUGAUAGUGUAAACCAUCCUUUAUAACACUCAGUAAGUUUCCUCAAACAUUUCUUACAAAUCCUUCAAAACUUAAAAUUUACCAAUGCAAAAUUCCUACUGUGAUCACAGGGACUUUGAUAGUGUAAACCAUUCUUUAUAACACUCAGUAAGUUUCCUCAAACAUUUCUUACAAAUCCUUCAAAACUUAGAAUUCACCCAUGCAAAAUUCCUACUGUGAUCACAGAAACUUUGAUAGUGUAAACCAUCCUUUAUAACACUCAGUAAGUUUCCUCAAACAUUUCUUACAAAUCCUUCAAAACUUAGAAUUUACCUUUGCAAAAUUUCUACUGUGAUCACAGAAACUUUGAUAGUGUAAACCAUCCUUUAUAACACUCAGUAAGUUUCCUCAAACAUUUCUUACAAAUCCUUCAAAACUUAGAAUUUACCUUUGCGAAAUUCCUACUGUGAUCACAGAAACUUUGAUAGUGUAAACCAUCCUUUAUAACACUCAGUAAGUUUCCUCAAACAUUUCUUACAAAUCCUUCAAAACUUAGAAUUUACCUUUGCAAAAUUCCUACUGUGAUCACAGACAGAGACUUUACAAAUCGAUAUUUUCCAUUAUUUUCGUUUUUAUAACUGACGCCUUCUUCAUUUUUCCAGACGAGUCAGUUCAGUAAAACUUCCUGGUGGACGUUUCGUGAGAACAAUAUUAUAGAUCUAUUUAUAAUAUUAAAAAAAGCUAGCUGGUAUAUUAAACUUUUGUUGUUGUGACGUGACGUGAAGCGAAGCAUAUGGAAAGCAUUUCGUAGUUGGAAAGUUUGAAAAUGGAUCUCUUAUAAGUUCCUUGGCAAUAAAUGUAGUUAAUUUGUUUUGUGGAAAACAUCACGUUUAUUAUGAUAAUUAGGUAAACUCUGACUCGCACCCAGUCCUUGAAUGAAGCAGACCUGGAAAUAUUAUAAUUCCAGCAGUUCAUAGAUCCUACGCCAAGGGCAAAUUAUUUCUUUGAAAACACAGUUUAAACACCUUGCAAUUUUUGUUGCGAUUUCUGGUGGGAGUUUCUUCUGAUGCAUGUGAACGAGUAAUAUACAGGGUGUAUAAAAAAAAAGGUAAUCGAACAUCAGCGCGUUAUUAUACGUGAAUCACUCGGCGUAUGAACAAUUGGUUCUCAUAUUCGGAAAGACCAGGCUUUUAGCUAUUGAAUGACAUGCUUUUCAUACCAAGUGAAGAAAAAAUAAGCAUGUACGAGGCCGAUUAGUCAAAAUCGCAUAUUUUCACCUCUGUGCCUAAUUAAAACAAUGCAUAACAAAAGAAAAAGCAAUUAAUCACUAACGUGUCGUAGCUUA